rnacentral:rRNA from 1 species
GACGAACGCUGGCGGCGUGCUUAACACAUGCAAGUCGAACGGUGAAGCGCCUUCCUUUUUAGUGGGUGUGGAUGAGUGGCGAACGGGUGAGUAACACGUGAGUAACCUGCCCCCUUCUUCUGGAUAACCGCAUGAAAGUGUGGCUAAUACGGGAUAUUCUGGGUCUGUCGCAUGAUGGGUCUGGGAAAGAUAUUGUUUCGGUGGGGGAUGGGCUCGCGGCCUAUCAGCUUGUUGGUGGGGUGAUGGCCUACCAAGGCGGUGACGGGUAGCCGGCCUGAGAGGGUGGACGGUCACACUGGGACUGGGACACGGCCCAGACUCCUACGGGAGGCAGCAGUGGGGAAUAUUGCACGAUGGGCGCAAGCCUGAUGCAGCGACGCCGCGUGAGGGAUGGAGGCCUUCGGGUUGUGAACCUCUUUCGCCAGUGAAGCAGGCCUGCCUCGUUUGUGGGUGGGUUGACGGUAGCUGGAUAAGAAGCGCCGGCUAACUACGUG